rnacentral:rRNA from 1 species
CGGGGGGAGCAAGCGUUGUUCGGAUUUACUGGGCGUAAAGGGCGCGUAGGCGGCCACCGCAAGUCAAUUGUGAAAUCUCCGGGCUUAACUCGGAAAGGUCAACUGAUACUGCGGGGCUAGAGUGCGGAAGGGGCAACUGGAAUUCUCGGUGUAGCGGUGAAAUGCGUAGAUAUCGAGAGGAACACCUGCGGCGAAGGCGGGUUGCUGGGCCGACACUGACGCUGAGGCGCGAAAGCUAGGGGAGCGAACGGGAUUAGAUACCCCGGUAGUCCUAGCCUUAAACGAUGAAUGCUUGGUGUCUGGGGUUACAAAGUCCCCGGGUGCCGUCGCUAACGCUUUAAGCAUUCCGCCUGGGGAGUACGGUCGCAAGACUG